GGUCGCUUAGCUCAGCUGGUAGAGCGCUACGUUCACAUCGUAGAUGUCGCAGGUUCGAGUCCUGCAGCGACCACUA
rnacentral:tRNA from 2 species